UCUCUCUCUCUCUCUCUCUCUCUCUCUCUCUCUCUGUUUAACCGGUUCGUUCACUCCUGCAGGUUGUAAACACAGUACAGGUGUCUGUGGCUCCAAGCGUUAUUAAAAUCUAAGUGUCAGGAAGGGACAGACAGAUCGACACAGCGCCGGUUGUAAACACAGUACAGGUGUCUGUGGCUCCAAGCGUUAUUAAAAUCUAAGUGUCAGGAAGGGACAGACAGAUCGACACGGCGCCGGGUUUCGUCAAAACAGGAGAAGGGGAGAAGAAAAGGAGGAUGAAGGAAAAGAACACAAUAAAAGAAAGAUAGAAUCCCAGAUGUGUAUCGAUCCCUGUGCCAAUGAAAAGGAAGCAGAGAAAAGCAAAGACGAGAAGCAACGCUGUCACUGGAUUCGUUUAAGCGCUCGGGGAAAUCCAGGUGUUUUUGGAAGGCGUCUUGCCUUUUUUGAAGAGCUUUUCAAACUCUUGAAUACAAGCAGAAGCCAGAUUAAGCCUCUGGAAAUUUAAACCAGUAUUGUUUUUUUUGUUAUGCAUUUCUAGAUAGACAGAUAGAUAGAUAGAUAGAUAGAUGUUACAUACCUAUACGUGUGCUUCUCUACUAGGGGGGGAAAAUAAAAGUUUUUCCAGGGCAAUUUAAUUUAAAACAAAAAAAAAAUUCUACUGUGAAUUUUUUUUUUUUAAUAAAUCAUAAUGUGGACUCCCCUGGGUGUGUAAGAUCUAUCGCUGGAUACUUGAUGCAGUCUUUGCAAUACAACACAAGUUCGAUCAGCAAACACAAAGCGUUUGCUGCAGAGUCUCUUCCAAUAGGACCUUGUUUGUUUUGCGUCAAAGGAUGGAGCACAAGGAGGUGAAGUG